rnacentral:lncRNA from 1 species
UCAAUUACACACACAUUAGCAAUAAUUUAGUCCCAACCUACACACCAGCAAGGUGUAAAUCCUAAAGAAGAAACUCUUACAAAUGCCUUUGCUUUUCCCCUUCAUUUCUUAUUGCUUUAUUAAACUCAUUUAUACAAGUCCCAAACAGUGAUGUUAUUUACAUAGAAAUCCUGUGUCUUCCUAAGUCCGGAGACAAAGUCUUGCUAAAAUUCUGUUUGGUUUCUAUAUGCUUAGAUUGAUAAAAUGUCCAUGAAACCUCCAAUUUCUGCACAAUGAUAAUGCUUCAAGAAUGUUAUUCCAACUGUUGGUCUCUCAACUAAUGGUCUCAAAAGGCUGCUAAUAGUUAUUAGUAAAUAGGGUGUAUGUAUGUGGAAUCAGUGAUGAUAGUUUCUGCCAUCUUACAGUCCCUAUGUAUUUUUGCUUCCAGAUGUAGCAUCUCUAUGGAAGAUGAGCGGUGCACUUACCACAGUAUGUCUAAACCACGCACUGGUGAUACUCAGAACCUUUAUACCGAUCAGGGAGAUAGGAAGUAGGGGGUCUAUCAUGGCUAUUAUAGAACCUACAGGAUUUUUCACGGGUAACAUGCAGGAACAUGUUAUCAAGAGCAGGAGGAGGCGAAGUAUGGAAUCUCUCAAUGAAAAGAACCGAUUAGCUUAUAUGGACAAGAUUAUCUUUACUCGUAUAUUCUCAUAUUCACGAAAAAUCAGCUCAAUGAUACCCAGCCGACCUGACUCCGUCCUUUCGCUGCAUCGUAAAAGCGGACUUUUAUCAAGCGUCCCGGGAGGCGUUACCCCUGUGGCACUGGUGCUGACAUUUUAUGUUGAACAUAUACCUUCCUUCCUGUCUGGUUGGCAGACAAAGUAUCCUGGCGAUUGGCAUAGUCCCUCGGACAAUACAGCCGGAUGGACUACAGGAAUGAUAUGAAUCAUACAAGUGCUUUACCUUUUGUUGUGAUAUGUUUUGUAACAUAUCAAUAUUUAUUAAAACUGCCAUUUUAUGGGAAAUGUUAGUGAUCAUGUUUGUUCCCCUUAUUAGUAGCAGUCAUGUAAAGCAGAGAUUUGCAGGGAAAGAAAUAUAUAACUUUAGUUAUUGGAAGCUAAAAGAUCCAGCAUGUUGAGUUAUUUUUAAGUUUCAUGAUGUCUGCUACCAAUAUAUUUUCUGGUAUUACUUAUUAUCUAGGCCUGUGAUAUUGAAGGCUAGAACCAUUAUAAGGCUUUGUCUUGUGGGAGCUUUUAUUUAAGACCCUUGAUUACAUAUUUCAAGCCUGACAAAGAAUUGCUGAGGAACCAGUCAAAUAUAUUCUUUCAGCUUAUUAAAUUUUUAUAUAAAUCUCUUAAAUUAUUUGGUAAUGGGAGAUAGAGUAAGAUUGCAUAAAGGUGAUCUUUCUUUCUUGAAAGGGUGAACUUCAGUCAGAAAUAAAAUGUAUUUUUGUCAAUGUUAUGUCUUUUAUUAAUUCUGUCCUUUGAUGCUUCAUUUGCAGACAAAUCGUAGAAGCAUUUCUUUUUGCAUUUCAUGCUGCUGGUAGCAAAGUUUACGUGAAAUAAAUUGUAGACAUGCGAGGAAAUACAUUUUGAAUGGCAAGAGCAACUUCUGCUUGCACACCAUUGCUUUGGGAAAAUGGUAUUCAGACACAAGGGGAUAACUCUGUACUUUCGUCAAGUGUUCAUGGUUCAUCCAGUGUUAUAGAAGUUAUUGUCAAAAAAGUCAUGUAUGUGUGUGUGUAUUGUCUUGUGUGUGAGUUUGCUUAGAGUGUAUAUGGACCAUAGUUUGGUAUUAACUUAUUAAUAGAAACCAAACUUGACAUAUUAAUUUCAUUUUACGUUGUUCAGUGAGCAUGAAGUAAGACUUGCUCUUCUGUAUUCAUAACUGUAAUCAAACAAACAAUAUCAUCUCUAUUGUACAGACAUUAUGAGGCUCUGUAUAUUGUAAAACCACUUAAAUGUGAGAAGGCUUGAGUUGUAUAUAUUUUUCAAUAUUCUAGGUAUUUUAUUUUUGUUGUCUUAAAACAUGUCAUGCCAAAAGUGGAGUCAUUUUUAAGGUUAGAACCAAUUAUCAUGAUUGAAUCUGAUUAAUUUAUGACUAGUCCUGCUGCAUCCAUCCCCUGAAUAUCCAACCCCUCCUUCCUUAUAAAUCAAAGUAUUCAGUCAAAACCCUUUUAAACAAAAGAAAUGGCUUUUGAAGUCAGUUCAGUAGCUUUGAUUGAUUUUGCCAUUCACCAAUUGUUUUACAUUUUGUUGUCGAAGUGGAAUUAUUAGAAAAUACAAGUUAUCAUGCACCAUGAGAUCAUUUUAGACCAGACUUUUUUAUAUGGUAAGCAUUUUGAAUUAUUUGUUGUUUUCAAAACCAUGAUAUGCCAGCAAUUGUUCCCUGACUUUGUUUUCAAGGUUUUGCACUACCCCUUACGAUUAUUUGCUUAUAUCAUUAUCAUGAGAAUCAGCAUUAUGACACAAGGUCCAGAAGGUGUGCUUACCACAAAAGAUGAUGUCUAGUUUUAUUUUCAUGUUGUGUAUUGAUGAUGUUGGAGUCUGGGAAGUGUUAUUCAGUUGGGUGUGUCUGUAAUGGGAGUACAGAGCAAUUGAAACAGGUAAAUAUAUGAGGAUUAAUAUCUGGAAAUAUAUACCUUGAAAGCUUCUUGCUUGGGAAUCCUUUUUGCUUGUUGCUUUGAUUUUAUUUUUAUGAAGCAUUCUGCACCCAGUAUCUGUAUACAGUUUUUUAUAUUUUAAAGAUUUCUGAAUUUUGAUUGCAUAGGAAAUAUAUUUUGUGAACGUUGUACAAGUUGUUUCAAGCAGUUGUUUUUUGUUUGUUUCACUUGAAGUUCCCUGCCAUUAAACUGAAUUAAUUAUUCAGAUACAUUUUAAUAUUUUGAGAUUACACAUUUUAUAAUACAUUUGUUCACAUAUAGAUCAGCUGUAGAUCUGUUUCAUGUUUGCUGACUCCAAUUGCUUUUGCAUACAUAAAAUCUAAUUCACUAC